rnacentral:rRNA from 1 species
CCUACGGGAGGCAGCAGUCGGGAAUAUUGCGCAAUGGAGGAAACUCUGACGCAGUGACGCCGCGUAUAGGAAGAAGGUUUUCGGAUUGUAAACUAUUGUCGUUAGGGAAGAUAAAAGACUGUACCUGAGGAAUAAGCCACGGCUAACUACGUGCCAGCAGCCGCGGUAAUACGUAGGUGGCAAGCGUUAUCCGGAUUUAUUGGGUGUAAAGGGCGUGUAGGCGGGAGCGCAAGUCAGAUGUGAAAACUCAGGGCUCAACCCUGAGCCUGCAUUUGAAACUGUGUUUCUUGAGUGCUGGAGAGGCAAUCGGAAUUCCGUGUGUAGCGGUGAAAUGCGUAGAUAUACGGAGGAACACCAGUGGCGAAGGCGGAUUGCUGGACAGUAACUGACGCUGAGGCGCGAAAGCGUGGGGAGCAAACAGGAUUAGAUACCCCAGUAGUC